rnacentral:rRNA from 10 species
UUGACCUCGAAUCAGGUAGGAAU